rnacentral:lncRNA from 1 species
CCUCACUCAGCACUUUGUGAAGCUCAAGUUCAAAGUCCUGAAUUAAAGAACUGAUAAUGAUUCUGACCCAAGGAGGAUACAAAGCUUUAAUUACGGUGCUUGUAAAAUGAUCCUGAUAGAUGUGUGCUUUGUUGUAUUUUUUUUUUUCCGGGUUCCAGUUGCUUUCUUGUGCCAUUUAUAAAAGUGCUUUGAAAGUUGCAGAAAGGAGGCCUGAGUGGGCAGCCUGGCAGAGGGAAGGAGAGGAUGCCUAUGGAUCAGGCUGUUGAGCAAAGAACCCAUGACUCUGGUUAGAGCAGAAUGUCUGGUGGCCUAAGUCAUAACAAAAAUAACUAGCCCUUGUCCAUCAUGUCCAGGCCCUGACCACCAGGCUCAUAGAUCCUUUUAAUUUGAACUCAGGGCCUCACACACUGGGGUAUCACUCUCCCACUGAGCUACAUCCUCAGCCCUUUCUAUCUUUUUAUUUUGAGACAGGUUCUCACUAAGUCACCCGGGUUGGCCUUGAAACUGUGAUCCUCCUGCCUCAGCCUUUCAAGUAGCUGGAAUUACAGGUGUGGGCCACCAUGCCUAGCUCACAGAUUAUUUUAUGGACUCUUCACAACAAUGCCACAAGGUCAGUGGUAUGAUUACAUCCACAUUUUAUUGAUAAAGGAAAGAAAUGAAGGCUUAGUGAUUUUCCCAGGUCAACUUGAAAGGAAAUAGCAGAUGAGCAAUUUCAACACAGGCCUCCUGACUCCAGGCCCUGAACCCUUGCCCAUGAUACUGGUCUGCCUUGUGUAGACUGUUGUGGGUCCCCAAGGCUGGAGCAGAGCAAACAGGUAUCUCUCUGUAUCUCCCGUCCAGAGACCUGAGAGAUGCAUGUGCUGGGUAAGUGUGGGCCUACAGUGUCGUCUAUAAGGCCUGAUGAAAGAUCUGGUCCAGAUCCUGUGACUCCAAACUCUAGACGAUAGGCAGAGGAAUAUUAUUCAGCAAUAAACAGGAAGACACAGGACAAUGAGCUACAUGUCACAGGCACAGUGCUGGACAAGAGAGCCAGGCAUAGCAGACCACACAGAGCAUGGCGACCAAGGCAGGAGGCUCCUCUGGGGAACCUCUCAGGGUGACAGAACAGGCCAGCAUCUUGAACUGAGUGGUGAGUUACCCAGCGGACUGAUACAAAAACAUUCAUCAUGCCCUGUGCUUCAGUUAUGUGUCCUUUGUCAUAUCUUAUUUCUAUCUCAGUUACAUUAAAAAGAUGUGAAGAACCAGGCACGGCGGUGCAUGUCUGUAAUCCCAGCCACUCGGGAGGCUGAGACAGGAGGAUCGAGAGUUCAAAGCCCACUUCAGCAACUUAGGGAGGCCCUAAGCAAUUCAACAGAGACCCUGUAUCUAAAUAAAAAAUGCAAAAUAGGCUGGGGAUGUGGCUCAGUGGUUGAGUGCCCCUGAGUUCAAUCCCCAGUACCAAAAAAAAAAAAAAAGGGAAGAAACUGGAGAAGAUUCAGUAAAGAGUGAAUCUUAGGAUAGACAAGCUAGAUUGAGAUCUGUUUCAAGAAGAAAGUCUGUUUGGGAAUGUGCAGUGGAGGUGGUGAUAAUCCCAUCAAGUUGUUUUUCUUUUUGUGUGUGUGUGUGUGUGUGUGUUGUAAUGAGGAAAAAAAAGUGUGUCACAUUAGAUUGGAUAGAGAGAAAGGAUGGG